GACGAACGCUGGCGGCGUGCUUAACACAUGCAAGUCGAACGAAGUGGCGAAUGGGUGAGUAACGAGUAAUCCACCUGACCUUCAGAGGGGGACAACACUUGGAAACGACUGCUAAUACCGCAUACGGAUGGUGGGGAUUGAGUCUGAUUGGCUAGUUGGAGGGGUAACGGCCCACCAAGGCGGUGGUCAGUAGCCGGUCUGAGAUGAUGAACGGCCACAUUGGGACUGAGACACGGCCCAGACUGCUACGGGGGGCAGCAGUGGGGAAUCUUCCGCAAUGGACGAGAGUCUGACGGAGCAACGCCGCGUGAGGGAUGACGGCCUUCGGGUUGUAAAGCUCUGUUAAUCGGGACGCGGUACCGGAAUAGAAAGCCACGGCUAACUACGUGCCAGCAGCCGCGGUAAUUC
rnacentral:rRNA from 1 species